CUUCCAUCUGGAAGAAGUCUGGAGACAGGUGCUGCAUGGCUGUCGUCAGCUCGUGUCGUGAGAUGUUGGGUUAAGUCCCGCAAUGAGCGCAACCCUUGCCUUUAGUUGCCAGCAGUUCGGCUGGGCACUCUAAAGGGACUGCCGGUGUUAAACCGGAGGAAGUGGGGAUGAACGUCAAGUCCUCAUGGCCUUUAUGACCAGGGCUACACACGUACUACAAUGGCCGAUACAAAGGGCAGCGACACUGCGAGGUGAAGCAAAACGCAGAAAGCCGGUCUCAGUACGGAUUGGAGUCUGAAACUCGACUUCAUGAAGUUGGAAUCGCUAGUAAUCGCGCAUCAGCAUGGCGCGGUGAAUACGUUCCCGGGCCUU
rnacentral:rRNA from 1 species